UACGUAGGGUGCAAGCGUUGUCCGGAAUUAUUGGGCGUAAAGAGCUCGUAGGCGGUUUGUCGCGUCUGCUGUGAAAACGCGAGGCUCAACCUCGCGCCUGCAGUGGGUACGGGCAGACUGGAGUGCGGUAGGGGAGAUUGGAAUUCCUGGUGUAGCGGUGGAAUGCGCAGAUAUCAGGAGGAACACCGGUGGCGAAGGCGGGUCUCUGGGCCGAUACUGACGCUGAGGAGCGAAAGCGUGGGGAGCAAACAGG
rnacentral:rRNA from 1 species